rnacentral:rRNA from 1 species
UACGGAGGGAGCUAGCGUUGUUCAGAAUUACUGGGCGUAAAGCGCGCGUAGGCGGCUUUGUAAGUUAGAGGUGAAAGCCCGGGGCUCAACCCCGGAACUGCCUUUAAGACUGCAUCGCUUGAAUCCGGGAGAGGUGAGUGGAAUUCCGAGUGUAGAGGUGAAAUUCGUAGAUAUUCGGAAGAACACCAGUGGCGAAGGCGGCUCACUGGACCGGUAUUGACGCUGAGGUGCGAAAGCGUGGGGAGCAAACAGG